GCGGGUGUAGCUCAGAGGCAGAGCACAACCUUGCCAAGGUUGGGGUCGUGGGUUCGAAUCCCAUCGCCCGCU
rnacentral:tRNA from 1 species